rnacentral:misc_RNA from 1 species
UAAUCAGACGUAGGUGUACCAGACAAAUCUGUUCUUUCGUUAAACCAUAAUACAUUAUGUAUAAACAAGUUCGUAUUUGUUAUUCUAUUGCUCGAUAUAUUCGUAAUUCGAUAGCACGGCGUAUUCAAUGAGCCUCAAUAGACUGAGGCGAUGCGAGCGUCUCAAACGGAACACGUGUCUUUGAUUGCCCCCAAUUGGCGAGCGAAUAAAAACAAUCGUCGCUUAAAAAUAACAGUGAUUUCAUGCAACAUGUGAUGGAUGUUUUCUCUUAGUGGAACGGAGCGUGGAGUUCCCAGGCGUGGCGCAUGUGAAAUGUCCUGGUGCCGCGGUCCCAUGGAUUGCCGAAACGAUUUGGAAUCGCUAAUGACGUAAACGAAAGCACACAUUGGAAUAGGAUUCAGUUGGCGUCGAGAGAUGUCCAGAGCACUUGGUACAGAAUGUUUGCGACUGUACCCAGAACUAUUGGCUUGCGCAACGAACCUGCAAGGACCCUCAAAGAACAUUGGUUGGCACAGUCUGCGGGUUCUCCAGGUGUGAUUGUCCGGACGAUUUAGUGCUGGAUACUGAAACCGGCUAUUGUUACGACAUCGAUAACUGUCCUACGAAGCAUAAUAUUGAUUAAAUA